UAUUAAUUCAUAAUAUUAGUUUUAUUGUGAAUUAUUCUCCACUAAAGAUUAGCAUGGCCCCUGUGCAAGGAAGACACACAAAUUCGUGAAGCGUUCCACAUUCGU